rnacentral:rRNA from 14 species
UUAUGAGUUUGAUUCUGGCUCAGGCUUAACGUUAUUGUGGUAUAUUCGAUAUGCAAAUUAAACGUUUUAAAACGUGGUGAACUUGAGAGUAAUAUAAAAGAAUGUGAAGUUAAAUUUGGAAUAAAAUACCUCAUAAAAAAAUUAAUUUUGGUUAACGAAACACUUUUAUAAGAUUAGGCUUAGUGGGCUAAAAUCCAUUAUUUCAAAGAUCUUUAACAAAUUUUAACGAAUCUAUUGUCUCAUUGGCUUUGAAAUAACAGCUAAAUUUUUUAAAAUCGCAGUCAAGAAUAUUGAACAAUUAAGGAAACUUAGAUUCAGUGACCUCAAAUAAAAAAGUUGAUAACUUUAUCAUAAAUUUUGUAUACUUAAAUAAAUUAUGAUUAUUUAAGUAAAAACUCUAACAAAUCACGUGCCAGAUGUUUCGGUAAUACGUGGGGAGUAAACGUUAGCCCAAAAUACUUGGCGUAAAUUGCUAAAAGGGUGCAAUUAAAUACUAAAAAAGAAGCAAAUAAUAAUUUUGUUAUAUUUUUUAUUGCAUAAAUUGCUUUGAGUUUUUGUUAAGAAAAUAGAAUAAGCUAAGUAAAGAUAAAAUUUUUUUAUAUAGCUUGGAAUAUCAAUUGCUAAGGCAAUUUUCUGACAAUUAAAUUAUGGUCACUAAACGAAUCCAUAUAACUGACCCUUUUAUUGCUAAAGUUUGAGUAGCAAAAAGAAUUAGAGACUCUUGUAGUUCAAACCUUCACCUAUGGCGAUCCUUUUUUUUAAAAAAAAAGCAUUAAACAUAAUACUCGCCUGCCUGAAUAGUAUAGUCGCAAGACUGAAAUUUAAAGAAUUAGACGAGAAAGAGUAUAAUUCGUGGAUUAUGUUACUUAAUUCGAUACAACACGCAAAUUUUACCAUUAUUUGUAUAAUAGUACGCUUUAUAUUUAGAUAAUAUUUAGAAAAAAAUUAUUUUUCAUAUUUUUCACUAUUACAGGUGUUGCAUGGUUGUCGUCAGCUCUUGUUGUAAAAUGUUCGAUUAAUUUCGUGAACGAGCGUAACUUAUUUUUCUAGUUAUUAAAAAAUUUAACAAGUUUAAAUUACUGUCAAAACUCUAGGAAUAUCACUUAUUGAAGAUAAGAUGAAAAAGUAAAUGACGUCUAAAUCUUUAUGACUUUUACAUAAUGGGCUGUUAAUGUAAUACAAUAGAAAUUUACAAAAAGAAGCUACUUUAUAAAACGUGGCAAAUCUAUAAAAAUUUUUUUAGUUCGGAUUAUAAUUUGCAACUCAGUUAUAUGAAGUAGGAAUGAAUAGUAAUGAUUUGAAAGUAGAGAAUCGUGAACCAAAAUAAACUUUUUUUAUACUUAUCGCCCAUCACCUCGUGAGAGAUAACUCGACUAAAAUCUUGUAAAUUUAA